CAGUAGCCGCGGGAAUACGAGGGGGGCAAGCGUUGUUCGGAAUUAUUGGGCGUAAAGGGUGCGUAGGCGGUUUGGCAAGUUUCGUGUGAAAACUUCGGGCUCAACCCGAAGCCUGCACGGAAAACUGCCGGGCUUGAGUAUGGGAGAGGUGAGUGGAAUUUCCGGUGUAGCGGUGAAAUGCGUAGAUAUCGGAAGGAACACCUGUGGCGAAAGCGGCUCACUGGACCAUAACUGACGCUGAGGCACGAAAGCUAGGGGAGCAAACAGGAUUAGAUACCCCUGUAGUCCCUGUCUCUUAUAA
rnacentral:rRNA from 1 species